AGCAGUAGCCGCGGGAAUACGUAGGGUGCAAGCGUUAAUCGGAAUUACUGGGCGUAGAGCGUGCGCAGGCGGUUUGUUAAGACAGAUGUGAAAUCCCCGGGCUCAACCUGGGAACUGCAUUUGUGACUGGCAAGCUAGAGUGUGGCAGAGGGGGGUGGAAUUCCGCGUGUAGCAGUGAAAUGCGUAGAUAUGCGGAGGAACACCGAUGGCGAAGGCAGCCCCCUGGGCCAACACUGACGCUCAUGCACGAAAGCGUGGGGAGCAAACAGGAUUAGAUACCCGCGUAGUCCCUGUCUCUUAUAC
rnacentral:rRNA from 1 species